rnacentral:rRNA from 1 species
GUGGGGAAUAUUGCGCAAUGGAGGCAACUCUGACGCAGCCAUGCCGCGUGCAGGAAGAAGGCGCUACGCGUUGUAAACUGCUUUUAACCGGGAAGAAACCCCAGGACGUGUCCUGGGUUGACGGUACCGGAGGAAUAAGCACCGGCUAACUUCGUGCCAGCAGCCGCGGUAAUACGAAGGGUGCAAGCGUUAUCCGGAUUCAUUGGGUUUAAAGGGUGCGUAGGCGGAGCGUUAAGUCAGUGGUGAAAUCCUGCAGCUUAACUGUAGACUUGCCAUUGAUACUGGCGCUCUUGAGUGCGCUUGAAGUGGGCGGAAUGUGCCGUGUAGCGGUGAAAUGCUUAGAUAUGGCACAGAACACCAAUUGCGAAGGCAGCUCACUAAGGCGAUACUGACGCUGAGGCACGAAAGCGUGGGGAUCGAACAGGAUUAGAAACCCGAGUAGUCC